AGGAUAAACGCUGGCGGCGUGCCUAACACAUGCAAGUCGAACGUCUCUUCUUUCGGGAAGAGGAGUGGCGGACGGGUGAGGAACACGUGGGAACCUGCCCUUCAGUGAGGAAUACCGGCGAGAAAUCGCCGACAAGACCGCAUAGCCCUCUCUGGUGAGAGCCAGAGAAGGAAAGCUUCGCAAGAGGCGCUGGAGGAGGGGCCUGCGUCCGAUUAGCUAGUUGGUGGGGUAAGAGCCUACCAAGGCGUCGAUCGGUAGCUGGUCUGAGAGGACGAUCAGCCACACUGGGAUUGAGAACGGCCCAGACUCCUACGGGGGGCAGCAGUGAGGAAUUUUCGGCAAUGGGGGAAACCCUGACCGAGCAACGCCGCGUGCAGGAAGACGGCCUUCGGGUUGUAAACGUGCUUUUUCUUUGGGACGAGCAAGGACGGUACCGAGAGGAAUCAGCCCCGGCUCACUACGUGCCAGCAGCCGCGGU
rnacentral:rRNA from 1 species